rnacentral:rRNA from 1 species
CAGUAGCCACGGUAAUACGUAGGUGGCAAGCGUUGUCCGGAAUUAUUGGGCGUAAAGGGCUCGCAGGCGGUUUCUUAAGUCUGAUGUGAAAGCCCCCGGCUCAACCGGGGGGGGUCAUUGGAAACUGGGAAACUUGAGUGCAGAAGAGGAGAGUGGAAUUCCGCGUGUAGCGGUGAAAUGCGUAGAGAUGUGGAGGAACACCAGUGGCGAAGGCGACUCUCUGGUCUGUAACUGACGCUGAGGAGCGAAAGCGUGGGGAGCGAACAGGAUUAGAUACCCCGGUAGUCCCUGUCUCUUAUAC